UACGUAGGGGGCAAGCGUUGUCCGGAAUUAUUGGGCGUAAAGCGCGCGCAGGCGGUCAAUUAAGUUGGGUGUUUAAGCCCGGGGCUCAACCCCGGUUCGCAUCCAAAACUGGUUGACUUGAGUGUAGGAGAGGAAAGUGGAAUUCCACGUGUAGCGGUGAAAUGCGUAGAUAUCUGGAGGAAUACCGGUGGCGAAGGCGGCAUCCUGGACCAUUACUGACGCUGAGGCGCGAAAGCUAGGGGAGCAAACGGG
rnacentral:rRNA from 1 species